CCUACGGGAGGCAGCAGUGAGGAAUAUUGGUCAAUGGACGCAAGUCUGAACCAGCCAUGCCGCGUGCAGGAAGACGGCUCUAUGAGUUGUAAACUGCUUUUGUACGGGGGUAAACGCAGAUACGCGUAUCUGUCUGAAAGUAUCGUACGAAUAAGGAUCGGCUAAAUCCGUGCCAGCCGCCGCGGUAAUACGGAGGAUUCAAGCGUUAUCCGGAUUUAUUGGGUUUAAAGGGUGCGUAGGCGGUCGGAUAAGUUAGAGGUGAAAUCCCGAGGCUCAACUUCGGAAUUGCCUCUGAUACUGUUCGGCUAGAGAGUAGUUGAGGUAGGCGGAAUGUAUGGUGUAGCGGUGAAAUGCUUAGAGAUCACACAGAACACCGAUUGCGAAGGCAGCUUACCAAGCUACUUCUGACGUUGAGGCACGAAAGCGUGGGGAGCAAACAGGAUUAGAUACCCUUGUAGUC
rnacentral:rRNA from 1 species